UUCAUUUAUUUUCCCCGACUCAUCUCUCCCGACCCCCCUCGGCCCCCAUCGCGCGUUCUUCGGCCACUAGGCAUCGACGCCGACGACCUUCUCCUCAAGCUACCACCUCCUCUUCCCUCUCCCUCCCGAGGCGUGGAGUCUUUCUUACUCUCUUCUCCUCUUCACCGCCUGCACAACCCUCCUUUCUCCCUAUCUUGUCGCCGUGCCCUAGAUUGCAGACGCUGAGUCUCUCUCGCCGAGCCCUUCCGACCACGCUAUGCCACACAGCGUAGCCGGAUCACCGCGAGCACCAGCGACACUGAUCCUUCCCUUCCGGUCAGUCGUCGUUACCCUUUCCUCGUACUAGAUCGUCGGCCGUCACCGUCCUUCCUCAAUUCUUAAUCGUGCCCUAGAUCCAUCACCAGUGCAUUGCUCUCUUCGAGUUGCUGCUUGUGUGAGCAGAUCUCUAGCCAAGAAGGGAGAUCUUAAUCCUAGCCUUGAUCUCCCUUGUUGCCGGAGAUCACUGCAAACCUGCCUUUUGGUGUCGAUCCCAGCUUACUGUCACUGCUUGAUGCCGCUGUGAACCACCGUGGUGAGUGAAGGUGGUGAUUUUGGGCAUCUGUUUGUGCCGGACCAGCUGUGAAUUGGUGGGGAAGCUCCAUUUUUCUCCACAGCAACUUCAGAUUUCUUCAUCAAAGGGUGUGGCUGUAGUUUUGGAUUGAGGUAGCAGAUAGAUGGUUGGUGUGUGACUUGGAGUAUCCUGUCUGCCGGGUCCUACGUCACAUCCAAAGACCGUUUCGGGUUUUGUAUAUAUUUUAUUUGUAUUUUGUAUUUGUUGUAUUUGGUGUGUGGUUGUAUUUGUUGUUGUGGUUGUUGUAUAAAGUCUAGUUGGCUAGCAGUGUGUCGAUUUGUUUUGUAUUGGGCUUUCCGUUAUCAUUUUUCCGCUGUGUUGAUUUUUAAUACAGCCGAGUGGGCUAUUUAUUGUAUAUAUAUAACUGCGUGGUUGUGUUUUAUUA